UACGUAGGGUGCAAGCGUUGUCCGUAAUUAUUGGGCGUAAAGAGUUUGUAGGCUGUUUGUCGCGUCUGCUGUGAAAUUUCGGGGCUCAACCCCGAACUUGCAGUGGGUACGGGCAGACUAGAGUGUGGUAGGGGAGACUGGAAUUCCUGGUGUAGCGGUGAAAUGCGCAGAUAUCAGGAGGAACACCGAUGGCGAAGGCAGGUCUCUGGGCCAUAACUGACGCUGAGAAGCGAAAGCAUGGGGAGCGAACAGG
rnacentral:rRNA from 1 species